rnacentral:rRNA from 1 species
UACGAAGGGGGCUAGCGUUGCUCGGAAUUACUGGGCGUAAAGCGCACGUAGGCGGAUCAUUAAGUCGGGGGUGAAAUCCUGGAGCUCAACUCCAGAACUGCCUUCGAUACUGGCGAUCUUGAGUCCGGGAGAGGUGAGUGGAACUCCGAGUGUAGAGGUGAAAUUCGUAGAUAUUCGGAAGAACACCAGUGGCGAAGGCGGCUCACUGGUCCGGUACUGACGCUGAGGUGCGAAAGCGUGGGGAGCAAACAGG